GUAAAACAUCUAAUCUUGUUCUAUUUCCAUGUCUUUUCAGGGGAGAUGAUAACUCAUUUCCUACCAUCAGUCAAUGUAACCACCUGCUUUUGGAGAAGAAUACCAGGAUGAUGUCACCUAAAUGCUGCAGCACAAGUGGGAACCAGCAUUUUCCCUGUUUGAGUACCUCUGCGAUUCAGUGGAAUGGUUUUGCAAUGGGAAUUUGAGGCUUUCCAGCAGUGCUGCUGCACUCAGAGAAUGUAGAAGCUGAAAAGCACAGCAAGUCUUGAGUUGCACCAAGGCUAUUUGCACCUGUGAAUUCCUCCCUGAGCCCUCGGCUUAUAGCUUUUGUGGAUGUGGUACCAUGUGAAUGAGGCUGGAAAUGAGAAGCUGGAAAAAGACUGCAAGGAGAAGAAAGCAUGUAGGAUCAGCAUGGAGUUUACUUCUUGCUUCUUCACUGAGCUCAGUCAGAGUAUGUACAUGUCAUGGUGGAAGACAUGGAAACAAAUCAAUUGUGGUGUAAAAGGUGUAACUCUUCCUCCUCUUUGCCCAGAAGAUGCAGCUGGUCACAGGUAGGCUGCUCUCC
rnacentral:lncRNA from 1 species